rnacentral:ncRNA from 1 species
AUAAAUGCAAGGAAAAAGAGUGUGCGUCGUUUUCGCCAUCCAGAGAGCCGGGGGCUGCUGAAAACCCGGUAUGGCGGUGCGGCGUGCUGUCGCUUUUGAGCAGAGGCGGGGAAACAAGAGUAGUCGCCUCCGGGUCUGCCCCACGUUAUCGGGGCAUCAAGGGGCAUGCGGCAGAAAGCCGUGUGCAAUUUGGGUGGUACCGCGGUUAUAUUACAGCCGUCCCAUGG